AGAGUUUGAUCCUGGCUCAGAGCGAACGCUGGCGGCAGUAACACAUGCAAGUCGAGCGGGCGUAGCAAUACGUCAGCGGCAGACGGGUGAGUAACGCGUGGGAACGUACCUUUUGGUUCGGAACAACACAGGGAAACUUGUGCUAAUACCGGAUAAGCCCUUACGGGGAAAGAUUUAUCGCCGAAAGAUCGGCCCGCGUCUGAUUAGCUAGUUGGUGAGGUAACGGCUCACCAAGGCGACGAUCAGUAGCUGGUCUGAGAGGAUGAUCAGCCACAUUGGGACUGAGACACGGCCCAAACUCCUACGGGAGGCAGCAGUGGGGAAUAUUGGACAAUGGGCGCAAGCCUGAUCCAGCCAUGCCGCGUGAGUGAUGAAGGCCCUAGGGUUGUAAAGCUCUUUUGUGCGGGAAGAUAAUGACGGUACCGCAAGAAUAAGCCCCGGCUAACUUCGUGCCAGCAGCCGCGGUAAUACGAAGGGGGCUAGCGUUGCUCGGAAUCACUGGGCGUAAAGGGUGCGUAGGGGGUCUUUAAGUCAGGGGUGAAAUCCUGGAGCUCAACUCCAGAACUGCCUUUGAUACUGAGGAUCUUGAGUUCGGGAGAGGGAGUGGAACUGCGAGUGUAGAGNNGAAAUUCGUAGAUAUUCGCAAGAACACCAGUGGCGAAGGNNGGCUCACUGGCCCGAUACUGACGCUGAGGCACGAAAGCGUGGGGAGCAAACAGGAUUAGAUACCCUAGUAGUCC
rnacentral:rRNA from 1 species